rnacentral:sRNA from 1 species
AUAUAGCCCGGAUGGGAACGGCAUCCUUUUCUUUUUUUUCUUUAAAAAAAGAAAAGAUACAGUGGACAGCCGGAAAAAGC